rnacentral:rRNA from 1 species
UGCUCUCUGGGUGACGAGCGGCGGACGGGUGAGUAAUGUCUGGGAAACUGCCUGAUGGAGGGGGAUAACUACUGGAAACGGUAGCUAAUACCGCAUGACGUCUUCGGACCAAAGUGGGGGACCUUCGGGCCUCACGCCAUCAGAUGUGCCCAGAUGGGAUUAGCUAGUAGGUGGGGUAAUGGCUCACCUAGGCGACGAUCUCUAGCUGGUCUGAGAGGAUGACCAGCCACACUGGAACUGAGACACGGUCCAGACUCCUACGGGAGGCAGCAGUGGGGAAUAUUGCACAAUGGGCGCAAGCCUGAUGCAGCCAUGCCGCGUGUAUGAAGAAGGCCUUCGGGUUGUAAAGUACUUUCAGCGAGGAGGAAGGCAUUGUGGUUAAUAACCACAGUGAUUGACGUUACUCGCAGAAGAAGCACCGGCUAACUCCGUGCCAGCAGCCGCGGUAAUACGGAGGGUGCAAGCGUUAAUCGGAAUUACUGGGCGUAAAGCGCACGCAGGCGGUUGAUUAAGUCAGAU